GUAACCCAGAAAAUGUCAACCAUCUCUUGCGCGGAGGACAAUUGGGGAAGCCGUGAAAUUGGAUCCUUCUCUGCACCGUGCUUCUCUGUCUCACAAGGACAGGUGCUCACUGACGGCGGAAAACAAAGCACGAGGGCCGCAACCAUUGCUGGCGAGGAAAGACACGCUAAAAGGAUGCAGAGCACCUUAGCCAGGUGAGUAGCAGCUGAACCUGGCGCUUUCCAAAUCGCCGACCUUCAGCCCACGGUGUUCUUCCCUUCGGGUGCACUGUUUACAAGCCGGGGCUUUUAAGAGCAUCCGACAGAAAUGGGAGGAGGAGAGAGAGCUAACAUUUUCCAGAAGCCGGAUUUCCGAGACAAGGUAGUUAACCUUUGGUGCGGCAAUAUGGUGCUAAAUAAAAACGAGAGACAGAGCUGGUCUCCUAACUUGGCUUUUCGUAAGCUUUCUGCAAAGAGCAAGUUACUCCUUGGCUCUAAGCUUGGUUUCCACGUUGGUAAAACAGGGAUAAUGAUGCCUGCCUCACGGCAUUCGGGAAGGUAUAUAUAUAUAAAAUGUUCAAUGGUUACCAGCUGUAGACAACUCCUUAAGCUGAGUUUGGCAGUGCAGAUGCUGGAAGCAGAUAGGAUAGGAAAAAAAUAAAAAAGUGGAAGGGAAAGCUAGGAAGGACAGACAACAGAAAGCUUGACUGAGAUGCCAUGCUGCACUUUGGUCUUCUGGCUCUGAAAUUGUGGAAUCCCAGCCUCAUCCCUGUUAGAAAUGCAAAUUCUCCCUGCACCCCUACCCCUCCAUGCUAGACCUCCUGAAUCUGGAACCGUUGCUGGUUCCAGAAAGCCCUGUUUUAACAAGUCCUCCCUCUGGGGGGUUCUGAUGAGCACUCAAGUUCUUUUUGUUGUUGUUGUUGUUGGAUGCUAUGGAAAUAUCUUAACUGUGGUCAUCAUUUGUAACAAGACAUUUAAGAAUAUCAGGUAUGCAGUUAUCGGGCAUGACUUUUUUUACUGCAAUAAAGUGUAUUUUUAAAAGCACAGGUGGCAGGCUUCCGUCACGGUAAAAAUCAGCAAGAAGAAAGCACAGCCCCCGUCUUGGGAAAACUGGAUAACUAGGUAGGUUUGUAAGAAAAUAUUUUAGACAUGGGGAUUUUAGACAAGGCAGGGCUUUAGUUAUUAACCUGGCAUAGGAGACUGGAGGCGGUGGGAUAGGGCGGGAUAGGGCUCGUCCAGUCCGAAUUCCCACGAUGAGCUGAAACACAGCUGUGGUGGAAUCAUGUUGGCAGUUUACCUGAAUUGCACCCAGGUGAAGAACUAGCUGUACCUAGAGCCGGCAUUGGGCCCCACUGACUUUAUGGAAGAGAACUACGUGGUCCCAGUCGCUGGGCAAGUCAUUCCAGCAUUGCCCUCAUUUCUCAUCUUCCUCACCAGAGAGACCCUGACCUGUCCAAGUUCAUCCUCAUGAUGCUGCCCACCCAUCUGCCUUCUGCCUUCACCCUCUGGAUGUUAUUACUAAUUGCUAUCUCUGGGUCUUCUUUUCAGUGUGUGUAUGUUGACAUAUUUUUUUUUUUUUACUUUGGGUUGGUUUUCAGCUGCUUUCUCAUCUCUCAGGCCAGAAUGGUGCUUGGAGAACCCCAAGUACAGGUCAGGCCAUUAGCUGCUGCAUCUUAAGAGACACGCCUUCUGGACACAUCCCCAGCUGGGACCUCACACAAUCCGUCCCAGUCUCUUCAAUCUCUCCCUCGAUUCAGAGCUUCUAUUACUCACAGGGUAAACAGCAUCUUAUUAAGACAUCUGGCUAAUGUCAACAGCAUGUCUGCAUGCAAACGCCACAGCAAAUCCAUCCACCAACAAAAUGAAUGUGUACAAAGAGCAAGCAGACCUCCACACAAAAAAGAAAUUAAAAAAAAAAAAUAGAUCAUAGAAAAAAAAAAUAGAACUGCAAGGAACUGAAAGUAAUUUUUAGGCUCUACCUGGAAAUGCUCACAUGAGGACACGAGCCUGGUAGGUUGGUCACAUUUUAUCAGCUCACCUGUGCAUUUACGAAAAGAAAGUAAACGGAAUU